AACGCCGCACCUGGGCUUAGAGUGCGACGCUAGCUGACUUACGGCGCGAAUUUCAGCAGUGUGGGAAAGUUACAGCUAGCGGGUUAGAUGCGCGGACCUCGAUGCAGUGGAAUGGAGGAUCAAGAAACGGUAGCAUGCUGGACAGAGGACAUGCGCAUUUCAUUUUUCGGGACUUUCGUGUCCAACCGCAUGUGAAGGAUGGUAAAGCAGAAAUCCCUAAGAUGUGAAAGAGAACAGUUACAGUUACAGUUUCCAAGCCCAGAAUCUGAGCUGCAAAUAAAUAAGAUAUAAAAUAAAUUAUGGAGAAAAAGACACAUUAAUAAUAAAAAAAAAGUUUCUGUUAUUGUGUAUUAUUUAAUACUAAUGAUCAAUAAAUAUGUAAAGUUUAAAAAGUAAAGCCUAUUGAAUAUAGAAUUUAUUUGAAACAGUGACUUUUAUUAAACCAUUAACCCAAACAUAUGCCUCUGCCAAGACUUGAACUUGGAUCUCUUUUUUCUUUGAAGAAAGUGUUCUACCUUUGAACUACAGAUGCUUGUCAAUGGGUUUGGUUCUAAAUUAGUGUUGAGCUUUUCUAAUUGUCAUAAAUAUAAACAUUAGAUUCAAUUGCAAAUUUAAAUCACAUCUUCAUACUUUUAAGAACAGAAAUAUGUUUCUAGGAAAUGUAAACGGA